GACGAACGCUGGCGGCGUGCCUAAUACAUGCAAGUCGAGCGGACGAUUCGAAAGCUUGCUUUUGAAUCGUUAGCGGCGGACGGGUGAGUAACACGUGGGCAACCUGCCCUGUAGACGGGGAUAACACCGAGAAAUCGGUGCUAAUACCGGAUAACACGAUAUGUCGCAUGACGUUUCGUUGAAAGGCGGCGCAAGCUGCCGCUACAGGAUGGGCCCGCGGCGCAUUAGCUAGUUGGUGAGGUAACGGCUCACCAAGGCGACGAUGCGUAGCCGACCUGAGAGGGUGAUCGGCCACACUGGGACUGAGACACGGCCCAGACUCCUACGGGAGGCAGCAGUAGGGAAUCUUCCGCAAUGGACGAAAGUCUGACGGAGCAACGCCGCGUGAGCGAAGAAGGCCUUCGGGUCGUAAAGCUCUGUUGUUAGGGAAGAACAAGUAACGUAGUAACUGACGUUACUAUGACGGUACCUAACGAGAAAGCCACGGCUAACUACGUG
rnacentral:rRNA from 1 species